GAUCGUCUGAGCUGGGUAUAGGGGCGAAAGACCAAUCGAACCAUCUAGUAGCUGGUUCCCUCCGAAGUUUCCCUCAGGAUAGCUGGCUCUCGGGAAGAGACGAGUCUCAUCCGGUAGAGCGAAUGAUUAGAGGUGAUGGGGUCGAAACGACUUCAACCUAUUCUCAAACUCCCAAUAGAUGAGAGCCCCGGCUUGCUUGAAAGUGAAGCCGCGGGACUCGGAUCAGAGGUGCCAAGUGGGCCAAUUUUGGUAAGCAGAACUGGCGCUGUGGGAUGAACCAAACGCAGAGUUAAGGCGCCUGAUUCGACGCUCAUCCGAAACCAUGAAAGGCGUUGGUUGCUUAAGACAGCAGGACGGUGGCCAUGGAAGUCGGAAUCCGCUAAGGAGUGUGUAACAACUCACCUGCCGAAGCAACUAGCCCUGAAAAUGGAUGGCGCUGUAGCGUCGUGCCUAUACUCUGCCGUCAACGGCAAAGCGGGCGGCCCCUCACGGGGCGGUGCCGUUAAGCC
rnacentral:rRNA from 1 species